CGGGAUGUGGCGCAGCCCGGUAGCGCACUUGCAUGGGGUGCAAGGGGUCGCUGGUUCGAGUCCAGUCAUCCCGA
rnacentral:tRNA from 1 species